rnacentral:rRNA from 1 species
AGAGUUUGAUCCUGGCUCAGAUUGAACGCUGGCGGCAGGCCUAACACAUGCAAGUCGAACGGUAACAUUUCUAGCUUGCUAGAAGAUGACGAGUGGCGGACGGGUGAGUAAUGCUUGGGAACUUGCCUUUGCGAGGGGGAUAACAGUUGGAAACGACUGCUAAUACCGCAUAAUGUCUUCGGACCAAACGGGGCUUCGGCUCCGGCGCAAAGAGAGGCCCAAGUGAGAUUAGCUAGUUGGUAAGGUAACGGCUUACCAAGGCGACGAUCUCUAGCUGUUCUGAGAGGAAGAUCAGCCACACUGGGACUGAGACACGGCCCAGACUCCUACGGGAGGCAGCAGUGGGGAAUAUUGCACAAUGGGGGAAACCCUGAUGCAGCCAUGCCGCGUGUGUGAAGAAGGCCUUCGGGUUGUAAAGCACUUUCAGUUGUGAGGAAAAGUUAGUAGUUAAUACCUGCUAGCCGUGACGUUAACAACAGAAGAAGCACCGGCUAACUCCGUGCCAGCAGCCGCGGUAAUACGGAGGGUGCGAGCGUUAAUCGGAAUUACUGGGCGUAAAGCGCACGCAGGCGGUUUGUUAAGCUAGAUGUGAAAGCCCCGGGCUCAACCUGGGAUGGUCAUUUAGAACUGGCAGACUAGAGUCUUGGAGAGGGGAGUGGAAUUCCAGGUGUAGCGGUGAAAUGCGUAGAUAUCUGGAGGAACAUCA